GGGUGCUAGAAUGCAGUCGACGAUUAAAGCUCCCUUCGGGGAGUGUAUAGAGUGGCGCACGGGUGAGUAACACGUAAGUAAUCUACCUUCGAGUGGGGAAUAACCCGGGGAAACCCGAGCUAAUACCGCAUAAUGCAGCGGCACCUAAUGGUGACAGUUGUUAAAGAUUUAUCGCUUGAAGAGGAGCUUGCGGCAGAUUAGCUAGUUGGUAAGGUAAUGGCUUACCAAGGCUACGAUCUGUAACCGGUCUAAGAGGACGGUCGGUCACACUGACACUAAAUAACGGGUCAGACUCCUACGGGAGGCAGCAGUCGGGAAUUUUGGGCAAUGGGCGAAAGCCUGACCCAGCAACGCCGCGUGAAGGAUGAAGUAUUUCGGUAUGUAAACUUCGAAAGAAUGGGAAGAAUCAAUGACGGUACCAUUUAUAAGGUCCGGCUAACUACGUGCCAGCAGCCGCGGUAAUACGUAGGGACCAAGCGUUGUUCGGAUUUACUGGGCGUAAAGGGCGCGUAGGCGGCCCUACAAGUCACUUGUGAAAUCUCCGGGCUUAACUCGGAACGGCCAAGUGAAACUGUAGAGCUAGAGUGUGGAAGGGGCAAUCGGAAUUCUUGGUGUAGCGGUGAAAUGCGUAGAUAUCAAGAGGAACACCUGAGGUGAAGACGGGUUGCUGGGCCAACACUGACGCUGAGGCGCGAAAGCCAGGGGAGCAAACGGGAUUAGAUACCCCGGUAGUCCUGGCCCUAAACGAUGAAUACUUGGUGUCUGGAGUUUCAACACUCCGGGUGCCGUCGCUAACGUUUUUAGUAUUCCGCCUGGGGAGUACGCUCGCAAGAGUGAAACUCAAAGGAAUUGACGGGGACCCGCACAAGCGGUGGAGCAUGUGGUUUAAUUCGACGCAACGCGAAGAACCUUACCUAGGCUAGA
rnacentral:rRNA from 1 species